AUUAGAGUUUGAUCCUGGCUCAGGAAGUCGUAACAAGGUAGCCGUAAGUCGUAACAAGGUAGCCGUAAGUCGUAAGGGGGUAACCGUAGAGUUUGAUCCUGGCUCAGCCUUUGACUUAAAAAAAUGGAGAAGUCGUAACAAGGUAACCGUAAGUCGUAACAAGGUAACCGUAAGUCGUAACAAGGUAGCCGUAGAGUUUGAUCCUGGCUCAGCCUUUGACUUAAAAAAAUGGAGAAGUCGUAAAAGGUAGCCGUAAGUCGUAACAAGGUAACCGUAAGUCGUAACAAGGA
rnacentral:rRNA from 1 species